AGCAGCCGCGGUAAUUCCAGCUCCAAUAGCGUAUAUUAAAGUUGUUGCAGUUAAAAAGCUCGUAGUUGAAUUUCGGGAUCAAUAUGUUGGUCGUGCCUCGGUACGUACUAGCUUAUUGGUUUCUCCUUUCUGAAGAACCAUGAUGUCAUUUAUUUGGUGUCGUGGGGAAUCAGGACUGUUACUUUGAAAAAAUUAGAGUGUUUAAAGCAGGCUCACGCUUGAAUACAUUAGCAUGGAAUAAUGAAAUAGGACGUUUGAUUCUAUUUUGUUGGUUUCUAGGAUCGACGUAAUGAUUAAUAGGGAUAGUUGGGGGCAUUAGUAUUCAAUUGUCAGAGGUGAAAUUCUUGGAUUUAUUGAAGACUAACUACUGCGAAAGCAUUUGCCAAGGAUGUUUUCAUUAAUCAAGAACGAAAGUUAGGGGAUCGAAGACGAUCAGAUACCGUCGUAGUCUUAACCAUAAACUA
rnacentral:rRNA from 1 species